CAGGAGGGCUUCCAACUAAUGGCCAUUGGAGUUACUAAAUAACCUCCAUUUAUUUAAAUAUGCAUGGGGAUUUAGGAGGAGUGCAGGUAACUUUUUUCUUUGGUUUUUACUAUAUGUAUUGGGGCUGUUGUCUACUAUGGUCAUUGCUGCUAUAUAAUCCUUUAACUGUGCAUGAUAUUGAUUGGGAAUAGAACCAAUAUUUAACAAUUCUGGAUUUAAAUCAUUUUUCU